rnacentral:rRNA from 1 species
UACGAAGGGGGCUAGCGUUGCUCGGAUUUACUGGGCGUAAAGGGCGCGCAGGCGGUCUUGAAAGUCAGGCGUGAAAGCCCCGGGCUUAACCUGGGAAUUGCGCUUGAUACUCUGAGACUGGAGUACGGGAGAGGAGAGUGGAAUUCCCAGUGAGAGGUGAAAUUCGUAGAUAUUGGGAAGAACACCGGUGGCGAAAGCGGCUCACUGGGUCUCUUCUGACGCUGAGGCACGAAAGCUAGGGUAGGCGGAACG